rnacentral:rRNA from 1 species
AGCAGCAGCCGCGGUAAUACGAAGGGUGCAAGCGUUAAUCGGAAUUACUGGGCGUAAAGCGUGCGUAGGCGGUGAGUUAAGUCUGUUGUGAAAUCCCCGGGCUCAACCUGGGAAUGGCAAUGGAUACUGGCAAGCUAGAGUGUGUCAGAGGAUGGUGGAAUUCCCGGUGUAGCGGUGAAAUGCGUAGAGAUCGGGAGGAACAUCAGUGGCGAAGGCGGCCAUCUGGGACAACACUGACGCUGAGGCACGAAAGCGUGGGGAGCAAACAGGAUUAGAGACCCGCGUAGUCCCUGUCUCUUAUAC